rnacentral:rRNA from 1 species
AGAACGAACGCUGGCGGCAUGCCUAACACAUGCAAAUCGAACGAUGCUUUCGGGCAUAGUGGCGCACGGGUGCGUAACGCGUGGGAAUCUGCCCUUAGGUUCGGAAUAACAGUUAGAAAUGACUGCUAAUACCGGAUGAUGACGUUAAGUCCAAAGAUUUAUCGCCUGAGGAUGAGCCCGCGUAGGAUUAGCUAGUUGGUGUGGUAAAGGCGCACCAAGGCGACGAUCCUUAGCUGGUCUGAGAGGAUGAUCAGCCACACUGGGACUGAGACACGGCCCAGACUCUACGGGAGGCAGCAGUGGGGAAUAUUGGACAAUGGGCGCAAGCUGAUCCAGCAAUGCGCGCGUGAGUGAUGAAGGCCUUAGGGUUGUAAAGCUCUUUUACCCGAGAUGAUAAUGACAGUAUCGGGAGAAUAAGCCCCGGCUAACUCCGUGCCAGCAGCCGCGGUAAUACGGAGGGGGCUAGCGUUGUUCGGAAUUACUGGGCGUAAAGCGCACGUAGGCGGCUUUGUAAGUUAGAGGUGAAAGCCUGGAGCUCAACUCCAGAACUGCCUUUAAGACUGCAUCGCUUGAAUCCAGGAGAGGUGAGUGGAAUUCCGAGUGUAGAGGUGAAAUUCGUAGAUAUUCGGAAGAACACCAGUGGCGAAGGCGGCUCACUGGACUGGUAUUGACGCUGAGGUGCGAAAGCGUGUGAGCAAACAGGAUUAGAUACCCUGGUAG